AGCGGCGUGGUGUAAUGGCUAACACAUCAAUCCGGUCUACUGAAGAUGCUGGUUCGCACCCAGCACUGCUA
rnacentral:tRNA from 1 species